GUAAUGCUUAGGAAUCUGCCUAUUAGUGGGGGACAACAUCUCGAAAGGGAUGCUAAUACCGCAUACGUCCUACGGGAGAAAGCAGGGGACCUUCGGGCCUUGCGCUAAUAGAUGAGCCUAAGUCGGAUUAGCUAGUUGGUGGGGUAAAGGCCUACCAAGGCGACGAUCUGUAGCGGGUCUGAGAGGGUGAUCCGCCACACUGGGACUGAGACACGGCCCAGACUCCUACGGGAGGCAGCAGUGGGGAAUAUUGGACAAUGGGGGGAACCCUGAUCCAGCCAUGCCGCGUGUGUGAAGAAGGCCUUUUGGUUGUAAAGCACUUUAAGCGAGGAGGAGGCUACCGAGAUUAAUACUCUUGGAUAGUGGACGUUACUCGCAGAAUAAGCACCGGCUAACUCUGUGCCAGCAGCCGCGGUAAUACAGAGGGUGCAAGCGUUAAUCGGAUUUACUGGGCGUAAAGCGCGCGUAGGUGGCCAAUUAAGUCAAAUGUGAAAUCCCCGAGCUUAACUUGGGAAUUGCAUUCGAUACUGGUUGGCUAGAGUAUGGGAGAGGAUGGUAGAAUUCCAGGUGUAGCGGUGAAAUGCGUAGAGAUCUGGAGGAAUACCGAUGGCGAAGGCAGCCAUCUGGCCUAAUACUGACACUGAGGUG
rnacentral:rRNA from 1 species